GGACGAACGCUGGCGGCGUGCUUCAUACAUGCAAGUCGAACGAGAAGCUGACUUCGGUCAGUGGAAAGUGGCGGACGGGUGAGUAAUAUGUAGGAAAUCUGCCCUAGAGAGGGGGACAACAGAGGGAAACUUCUGCUAAUACCCCAUAUGAGCUUAGUUGAAAUACUAAUCUUGAAAACUCCGGUGCUCUAGGAUGAGCCUGCAUCUGAUUAGCUAGUUUGGCGGUAUAAUGGACCACCAAGGCGACGAUCAGUAGCUGGUUUGAGAGGAUGAUCAGCCACAAUGGGACUGAGACACGGCCCAUACUCCUACGGGAGGCAGCAGUAGGGAAUUUUGCGCAAUGGGCGAAAAAGCCUGACGCAGCAACGCCGCGUGAACGAUUAAGCCCUUCGGGGUGUAAAGUUCUGUCAGUGGGGACGAAACUUGACGGUACCCACAGAGGAAGCACCGGCUAACUCCGUGCCAGCCGCCGC
rnacentral:rRNA from 1 species